AAGAAGAUGGAAGGAGUACUUUGAAAAGUUGAUGAAUGAAAAAAAUGAGAGAGAACAAAGAGGAGAAGAAGCUGCGCCUAAAAUGUACUACAGAUGCAAUCUUUGCAUUGUGGAUGUUGAUAGAAAAGUACAGAGAAUGUCAGAGGGAGCUGCAUUGCGUUUUUGUAGACCUAGAGAGAGCAUAUGACAGGAUUCCAAGAGAGGAGCUGUGGUACUGCAUGAGAAAGUCUGGAGUAACAGAAAAAUAUGUUAGAGUGGUGAAGGACAUGUAUCAUAGCUGUAAGACUGUGGUGAGGUGUGCUGUAGGAGUGCUCAAGGUGGAAGUGGGACUUCACCAAGGAUCGGCUUUGAGCCCUUUUCCUAUUUGCUGUGGUGAUGGACAGGUUGACAGAUGAGGUUAGACAGGAAUCUCCAUGGACUGUAGGGCAGAGCUGGAGGUAGCAGAGAUGAAGAUGUUGAGGUUCUCUUUGGGAGUGACAAGGAUGGAUAAGAUCAGAAUUGAAUACAUCAGAGGAACAGCUCAUGUCAGAUGUGUAGGAGAUAAAAUCUGAGAAGCCAGACUGAGAUUGUUUGGACAUGUACAGAGGAGAGACACUCAAUACAUUGGUAGAAGGAUGCUGAGGAUGGACCUGCCAGGAAAGAGACCUAGAGGAAGACCAAAGAGGAGAUUUAUGGAUAGAGUGAAAGAGGACAUGAAGGUAGUUGAUGUGAUAGAAGAUGCGGAAGAUAGGAUUACCUGGAGACGGAUGACCCGCUAUGGCAACCCCUAAAGGGAAAAAGCCGAAAGGAAAAGAAGGAUGGGAAAGGGAAAUGAGCAGCACUGAGACCUACCAGCAGGGGGAGGGCAGUCCAAGUGUGGGAAACUGGCUCCUAAAAGAAAAAAAAAAAAAAGAAAAAAACCACCCCAACCACUUGUAAACAUGCAUGAAGAAACCCCAACACUGGUCAAUC